CCCAUUCCUUGCAUGAUGAGGUGUUGAACCGACGGUGUUCUUGACAAUAGUUGCAUCAUUGCACAUUAGGUCCAGCUAAAUAUAUACCAGUGCCUAGCUCAGUGUACCAUGGCAUUAGAUCGUGCACUGGUAUAUAUGUAGGUACGGUAUUAGAUCCUACACUGGUAUAUAUACCAGCAGUUUACCAUGUCUAACUAAAAAUAAGUGUAGGAUGAUCCAAUACCAGUCUAGCUAAUGAGUAUAUACGAGUCUUCUCCAACUAUUUUUUAUGUGUGAAAAUAGAUAAUGUGUUUGUUUGUUUGUUUGUUGUGUUUGGUUCCUGUGUCUUUUAGUCAAUGCACCUGUAAUGCAAUCAACAAAAGUAACCAUAGACCCUUCUUGCUAAAUUAGAAUAUAACAGUACAAAUCAGCUAGAUGGGCUGUCGAUGCUCCUCAUUGUUACUGAAUGAUAGGACAAAACGUUAUCUGCACUCACCACGAAUAGCUUAUCUAGAGAUUGGACAAUCAGACAAGUUAUUAUAUAAAGCAGUUCUCUUAACCUACUACCAGCCACCGACCGCCCUAUCCAUUCCCCUCUCUAGGUGCACAUAGUUUGUUUGUGAGCGCUCAAGAAGUAAAGCCAAAUCUGCAUUUUUCAUGUGCAAUGAUCUGUGAUCACUGAGUUUCUGUUUCAGGUGUCCAAUUUGAUUUCGGUCCAUUACUUUCUACUAUGUUGAUAAAAGAUUGAAGGAUCGUUGUGAGGCACAUCGAUGUCACGAGUUCGUCGCUGCCAUCGGCAUGGGCUCCGUCAUGAUGAUUUUGAUCUGUGGAUACUCUCUAGGGGUAUGGUAUGGAGCCACACUGAUCAUAGAGAAGGGAUACACUGGUGCCCAGCUCAUCAAUGCCAUCUUUGCGGUGCUUACCCACUCGCUAUAAGUGAUCUCCACACCUUCCCGAUCAUAAAUUCAGUUGCACCAAUCUCAGUUUUCUGAUUAAAUAUUAGUCUUAUAAACAAAGAGAAGGUAUGUUUCACUACCAUCAAAGGUUGGUGCUGGGUGGCAUCCUCCUGGCCAUCGUCAUGACAUGUAUUUAAUCGUCAUGACAUCGUCCUGGAAGGCCGCCGUCUCUGGCGCGCUCGCGCUCACCCUGUCCUUAUCCUGUUGUAAGCCAUCCAUCUUAUCCUUCCUUCAUAUUCAGCUUCCUGUGUGUGAGUGUAGCAUUUUCUAGUGGGAACUUCCCCUUGAUGGGUACGUGCUUUGCAGUUGUCGGUCUGGCCAAUGCCAAGGCCGGGGUCAACAAACCCGAGUUGUUCUUUAAGGAGUUCACCAACGUCAUCGACGUCGCCGGUUUUCUCUCCUCAGGCCAGGAAAAUCGUAUACGUCAAGAGAUAGAAGACCUGGAGAAGGACACUGGGUAUAAGCUGAG